AUUGAACGCUGGCGGCAGGCCUAACACAUGCAAGUCGAGCGGAUGAAGGGAGCUUGCUCCUGGAUUCAGCGGCGGACGGGUGAGUAAUGCCUAGGAAUCUGCCUGGUAGUGGGGGAUAACGUCCGGAAACGGGCGCUAAUACCGCAUACGUCCUGAGGGAGAAAGUGGGGGAUCUUCGGACCUCACGCUAUCAGAUGAGCCUAGGUCGGAUUAGCUAGUUGGUGGGGUAAAGGCCUACCAAGGCGACGAUCCGUAACUGGUCUGAGAGGAUGAUCAGUCACACUGGAAGUGAGACACGGUCCAGACGCCUACGGGAGGCAGCAGUGGGGAAUAUUGGACAAUGGGCGAAAGCCUGAUCCAGCCAUGCCGCGUGUGUGAAGAAGGUCUUCGGAUUGUAAAGCACUUUAAGUUGGGAGGAAGGGCAGUAAGUUAAUACCUUGCUGUUUUGACGUUACCAACAGAAUAAGCACCGGCUAACUUCGUG
rnacentral:rRNA from 1 species